GCCUGGUUGGCUCAGUUGGGAGAGCAUGCAACUCUUGAUCUCAGGGUCACGAGUUCAAGUCCCAUAUUGGGCG
rnacentral:tRNA from 1 species